ensembl:lincRNA
GGAUAAUGGGUCCAUACCCUACAAAUGCUCCUAAUUUUGAUCAUAUCUGUUAUUGAGCUGGUAGCAACUGUUCGGCUUGGCUACCAAUUACCUUUAAAAGAAUGCCUCACAUCUUAGAGUAAGAGUCAAAGAAAUGCAAACACUGAGGUGCAGAUGGACGCUUAUUCAGUUAAGAAACUUUUCAGUGAGCAACAGAUCCUGAUCCUGUCCAAGUAUCUCAGUGGCAGGACCCACUCGGGAGAGCUGGGGCGAGGCUGGCUGAGGUCCUCGAGGAGCUUGGACUCAGGCGCCUGCCUGGCAGUGGAAUGAUGCUUCCCGACCUCUCAGACCUCUGGGCGCACUUAGAAAGCACUUCACGCCUUCUGUCGGCACACGGCUGCCCAGGGGAACCUCAGGGACAGGGGGCAGAGAUCGUGGCCUGCGAGAUGAUGGGUACCCUGAUGCACUCACGACAGUAUCUCAAAGAUGCCACGCCGCUGGCUGCUCCCAAGAACGAAGCCACCCUCCCAGAGAGGUGGCCGGAAGCCGGGCUGCAGGAGGCUCGACUUUUUAGCCGGAGGAUGCACCGCCUUCUCAGGUGUCCUGGGAACUGCUGAAGGACCAUGAUGGGGAGCAAGCUGGUCCCCAGGACAGAGCAGAGCAGCUGGAACCAAGAAGCGCCCGGAGCCAGAUGCAAAGCCGGCAGAUCUGAGCGCCCUGAGCCGCGGUUCCUGAUUGGACGGUCUUUGCUUUGCCAUCACCCUAUUGGCUCACAGUUCUAGAUGAUUUUGAAUGGUUGGCUGGUCUUUUUUUUUUUUUUUUUUUCCGUCUGUCUUUCGUUAUUUUUUCUUGGCCUUGGGGAUUGUGUAAGAAAACAAUUGCUUUGGAAAAUAUAAUUCUGUGGCUGAAAUUAACCUUGUUUAUGAACCAAUAUUGUCCCUAGGGAUUUCUGAAUUGUCAUCUGGGUUACCUAGUAAAUGGGUCUGCAUGGUUUGAUGUGUGUAUUCCUGAUCUUGAGAUUAAAAAUGCAUUUUCAUAUCUGGAUCCAAGUAAUGGGCCGAGUCCCACUUGCCUUGCUACUGAAGCAAUCUCAGUGCGGCAUUGCUUGGAGUUGAAAUAUAAUCAAACAUAUUAUACCUGGGGCUCUUGCAUGCUCUUUGGGGUUUAUGCUACCCCACAAAGAAAUACAAACAUUGUAGGUGGAAAUGUAAUUCCUGUUUGAUCCCGCAGCUAGAAUGGUGGAGAAAGUAUAAAUAUUGGAAGUGGCUUCAAAUACUUCAGAUGUAAACUAACCAAGAGUAAGUGGCUGAUUCUCUAAGGCAGAGCAGGGACUGGAGACCACUCCCCACACCCUGCCUGUUGACCUUGCUCCAUCUGGAGGGAUCGGAGAAGGAGGCCCGCUUCUGUGUUUGCGUUUGCGGAGACUGUGGUGUUUCUGACUCGUGCUCUGUAACUGUGCCCACCUCGCAAUAAAACACCUUCGUUGACUCAGCGACAAGGUCUCUGUCCAUUUCCUGCAGUCCUGUGUCCUCAUCGGCUUUGUGAGAAGGUCC